UUCAAGGAAGGCAUGCAUUCACGUUCUGUGCCCUAAUGCUUUAAGGAGAGCUUGGCUCCCGGCAUGUGGGAUGCAGAUGGACUGUGCACACAUUAUGGUUUUAGGUUAAAAACAUAUCCCAUCAAAUAUUUAUUGAGCCACGACUAUGUGCCAUGUCCUAUUCUAGGCUGUGGCAGUAGAAUUCUAUGCACCAGAAUAAAUGCAAACAAAACCACUAGCUUUCAAACCCAACAGCCCACAGUUAAGAGAUUGGAAAGGAGAGGAAGCCUGGGCACUGAGCCUCCCCUCUGUGUCUCACCCAGCAUCUGAGGCAGGGCAUCUGAGCUCCCAUGUGGCAGUGUGUUGGUGAACUGUGGAGUAAAUCGAAUGAAUGUAGACAAUCUAUUAAGGCAAUAUAAGGAAAACCUCCCCCCCUAAUUCUUGGAGGCAGAUCACUGUCUCAGCCCUUCUGAGACAAUCUUGGCCAGUAUGGACUGCCUCACUGAGAGUCCGAGGAGGUCAUGACUCAGCCCUCAUCGGGCUGGCUGCAGAUGCAGCCUGCUCUGCUGAUGUUUAAUCAAGUGGAGAGAUUUAACCAAACUUAUUCUUGGAUGGUGUGUGGGUACCUUCUGCUCCUCUUGCCUGAAAUUCUCCUAACACGCUCUGAAUGGUAUACCUUUCUGGAUUGGGGCAUCUCUCUUUUGAGCAUAGAAUGAAAAAUCUCACAACUUCCAGUUUCUCAAAUGAGCCAAUGAAGUGGCUUUCUUAGAGAUUAUAGGCUGUUCUUUUAAAUUCAGAGCUUGUUGAAAGAAGCAAGCAAAGCUUUAAAUAUUACAAAUGCUUCUGAUGGAAGGAUAACAAAGGUGUCAAGGAUCUGACAGACUGUCGUAGCAUGCUCUUUUCGCGUAAUGGAUCCUUUUGAAAGCCCAUGUUUCUGAGCAUGGUUUCACCCUUCUAGGUGCCUCCUAUGCAAGUUACAUCACCUUGACAGAGCUAGUUCUCUCACUGUAAUAAAAAACACCCCCACUAAGUGAAUCCCCUAAAAUUGUGUGCUCUGAAACAGAUGACAGCUGAAAUCUGUUGAGAGAAACAAAAACAAAUGAUUGAUGGGGAUUCUGAGAACACUGCUGUGUGGGAAGAAUUCUUUUCACCCCCUUAUUGGUGUGGUGAGAGGUUGUGGUGAAGUAGCUCUUCCUCUCUGAGAAUAGCCUGACCUUCUCCUUUCAUUCUCACACCUGCUUUACCAAAGCCGGUAUUUUCCUUCAGCAAAAGAGAGUGGAAGGUGCUCUUCAGGAGGGAAACCCACUAAAAAUAUGAGCUACCAACCAGUAGCUGAGGUUUUGAUAAUGGACCUUGCAACUACCAGAAAGGUAUACUGUAUCAGGAAAAGAAAAUCCCUAAGUGUUAAUGACCUAUUUUCUUUCAUUCUAGAUUCUUCUCUUUUUUCUUCAUAAGUGGACCUCAUUUGUUUAUUUUUCUCUGGAGUAUUAUAAAAAUUCUAAGAGCUAUUGAACACCAUUGAUGCAAUUUCUGUUUCACCAAGUUCUUGUGAGCACCAUGGGCUUCCUGUUCCCAUUCUGCUCCCAACGCUGGAACUCUGGCAAGCAGCCCAAGCAGGCAGAGGGUCGCACCCAGCUUUACAUGACACUGCCCACGGUUGGACUACUCCCCUCUAGCGGGCCAAGCAAGUUCCCACAAUGCCCAGCCUCUGAGUGGUGCUUCUAGGACUACGGGGGAUAGAAUUACCCUAUGUGCUGGUUUUAAGGAAUGGGGGAGGUUAGGGAGGAGAGGGAGAAGGAACCUAGGGGCCUAUUCCUGCUCUUUGUGUCUUUGCUCUUAACCCCCUUGCCCAUUAUAGGAAACACAGGGCCAACCACAAAACACUAACCUGGCCCCGCUGAGAAGUUGGGAGAAGUUGCUGAGAAGUUAAGAAGUUGCCGUGUGAACCUCCCAUAUGGCUAGUCUCCUGCACCCUGUAUUGAGUAUCAGGCAUCAUAUAUUCCCAGGUGCCCAUGUAUCCUGGGAAAUGACCUAUUCUGCUCUAGUUCUGUGCCUAUCUAUAAGUUUGUUCCAGACCCCCUUUCCCUAAAGAGCUUUUAUCUAUUCAUUUAUUCUAUAAACUUAUCUACCCUAAAGUAUUAAUAACAACCACAAGUAUGAUGAUGCAAAGCGUGCUCUAGAGCAAUGCUGUCCCACAUACCUUUCUGUGACGAUGGAAAUGUUCUAUGUGUACUUUCCAACAUGUCAGCCACUGGCUAUCAUAUGGCUACUGAGCUGUUAAAUGUGGCUGAUGUGACUGAGGAACUCAAUUUUUCAUUAUAUUUAACUUUAAUUUAAAAGCCCCAUAUGUGACUAGUGGCUACUAUAUUGGAUAGCACAGCUGUAGAGAUUUGUAUCUUAAUGCAAAGAAUGAUAGCUGUGGGGGAAAUGUAACUGGCCAACAGGCAGGCUGGCCUUGGUGACCCCUGCAAAAGCCCCUCCCAGAAGGAAAGGCAAUCCAGGUCCCCCACUGCCUGGCCCUGCCGGGUACCAGUGGCAGACUCAAUUCAAUAGAAAAUGUUUCAAGGAGAAUGUAACAUGCUCUACUAUGAUCUGCCUAUUUUGAUACCAUUUCCUUCUUUUUCCCUUGCCUUUUAUCCCCCUCAGGUUUCAAAAGAAGACUUUUUGAACUAUUAUGCUGGUGUUAGUGCUUCUAUUGACACGGAUGCCUAUUUCAUUUUAAUGAUGACAAAAUCCUGGAGAUUAUAACUUUUGUCUAUUCUUUUGGAAAUAAGGGACUCAGAGUGAAUAAAUUUCAAAGAAGUAUGAUGCUACAGAUUUUGAUAAGGUGUAAACUAAAGUUUCUGAAAGAUCUGGGAUUUUAAAAGCAAUAGAUCUUCGGUCAUCUUAAUUGUAAUAAUUAAAGGUAAUUGUAAUAAUUAAAAGGAUUAUAGGAUCAUCUGACUAUACCAUUUCCUGGGCUCAUUCAUUUUAAUGUUUCUCUUGGUAAAUAAAGUAAAACGUAUUUAAUUUUGAAAUUUAA